rnacentral:misc_RNA from 1 species
UUUCUUCAGCCAAGUAG